rnacentral:rRNA from 1 species
AUGAGAAGAUUGAUCUGUAUGUUCACCUCCCCCAACUUGCUUGGGACAAAAGGCUUUGUUGUUGUUGUCAUUUUUGUUCUUGUUGUUGUUGUUGUUGUCGUCAUCGUCGUGGUUGUCGUCGUUGUCGUUGUUGUUGUCGUCGUGGUUGUUGUUGUUCACCUUUUCCGUUUAUCAACUCAUGUGAAAGGUCGAGGCACUGGCGAUGUUGAAGUAGUUCAAUUCUCGCGCCUAUGUGUAGGUGUCCUCUGCUCCAGUUAUGUUCAACUGUCCUGUUCGCCCAGCGCAACUUGCCUGGGACAAAAUGUUUUGUUGUUGUUCAACUCUCCUGUUUAUCAACUUAUGUGA